UCCUUUCCCUCUUAUCCGCCCCCCAACCUCGGUCCUUUCCUUCUAGGGUUUCACUGUUCUGGCGCCCGGCCUUAGUCUGGAGAAAGGUGUGGGUGCAUGGGGGUGGCAAGCUUCAUGGUGAGGGGGUAAGGAUGGGGGAUGGAGGAUGGGGAGCGUCUUGUGGAUGGAGAGGCUGGAAGGUCCCACCCUCUCAAUUCAGAGCUACGAGUUUGGAGAAGAUUUAAGUUGGGGACCCUUGGAGAUGACAAGAAAUGGGGAUAAAGUAGGAGAAGCCUGGGACAAGGAGUCCCAGAUUCUAAAGUGAAGGGGUUCUUGAAAAACGUAUCUUUUUGUGGUGAAAAAGGAAAAAAUUAACAAAGCAUAGCUGACCAGUGAUUGGAGACGGACAUUUUGAACCUUGAAAGUGACUUUUCAGGUACCCAGGGUGAUCCCCACCAGACCAUGAGUUUGAGACAUGGAGCCAGACUUGUAGGUGAGGUGGCUCAGCCUGCCAACAUCAUAGAAGCCCUGAGAAGCUGGAGUGCCCGGGAUUUGAGUGUAAGGCUAACGCAUCGCCAGUUCUUUCAGCGUAUCCUCAUAUGGCAUGGUCUUGAGCUUCUUCACUAUCCUGAUCACCCUCCUCCUGAUGCUCUUUGGAUGACCAAUUUCCUUAUUAAAAAAAUUAAAAUAUUAAAAUAUGCUUAGGAUGAAAUGUAAUACUUCAGAUGUGUUUUAAUCAGGUCAUAGCAGAGUGGGUUUAUAACCUUCCUCAUUCUGCAAGUGAUGUUUCUUUCUCUCUCUCUCUCUUUCU